GGUAAAAUGGCUGAGAUUAAGCGAUAAAUUGUAAAUUUAUUUACGAGUAAAAUACUCUUUUAUCA
rnacentral:tRNA from 1 species